AACCAUAGAAACCUGCGGAGUACCUGCGGAGGAUCAUUACAGGACUCGCAAGACUCCUUAAACCCCUGUGAACUUACUGUUUAUACGUUGCUUCGGCGGGUGCUCCGGGGUCCGCCCCGGGGCGCUGCGCCCGCCGGCAGCCUACUUAAUUCUGUUUCUCUGCGUUGGCAUCUCGAGUAAGCAAAAUAAGUUAAAACUUUCAACAACGGAUCU
rnacentral:misc_RNA from 1 species